CAUGAUCUCACACUGCCAAGAAAAGCCUCUAGCCAGGAGAAGGUGCCCGUACCGCAAACCGACACAGGUAGGCGAGAAGAGAAUUCUAAGGCGCGCGGAAGAACUCUCGUUAAGGAACUCGGCAAAAUGACCCCGUAACUUCGGGAGAAGGGGUGCCUCGGUAGGGUGAAUAGCCCGAGGGGGCCGCAGUGAAAAGGCCCAAGCGACUGUUUAGCAAAAACACAGGUCUGUGCGAAGCCGUAAGGCGAAGUAUACGGGCUGACGCCUGCCCGGUGCUGGAAGGUUAAGGGGAGCGGUUAGGAGCAAUCCGAAGCUGUGAACCGAAGCCCCAGUAAACGGCGGCCGUAACUAUAACGGUCCUAAGGUAGCGAAAUUCCUUGUCAGGUAAAUUCUGACCCGCACGAAUGGCGUAACGACUUGGGCGCUGUCUCAACGAGAGAUCCGGUGAAAUUUUAAUACCUGUGAAGAUGCAGGUUACCCGCGACAAGACGGAAAGACCCCAUGGAGCUUUACUGCAGCUUGAUAUUGAAUUUGGGUACGAUCUGUACAGGAUAGGUGGGAGCCGUAGAGGCCGGAGCGCAAGCUUGGGCGGAGGCGCCGUUGGGAUACCACCCUGAUCGUAUCUAGGUUCUAACCUGGUACCCUAA
rnacentral:rRNA from 1 species